GACUACAGGGGUAUCUAAGCCGGUUCGCUCCCCACGCUUUCGUGCCUUAGUGUCAGAAAUAGCCCAGUAACCUGCCUAUGCCAUUGGUGUUCCUUCUAAUAUCUACGGAUUUCACUCCUACACUAGAAAUUCCAGUUACCUCUGCUACUCUCGAGUUUACCAGUUUGAAUAAUAGUCUAUGUGGUUGAGCCACCAGAUUUCACUAUUCACUUGAUAAACCACCUACGCAACUCUUUACGCCCAGUCACUCCGGAUAAUGCUUGCACCCUACGUAUGACCGCGGCUGCUGGCACGUAGUUAGCCGGUGCUUAUUCAUAAGAUACAUUCAUGUUAUUCACUUAUAAAAGCAGUUUACGACCCGAAGGCCUUCAUCCUGCACGCGGCGUUGCUCCAUCAGGCUUUCGCCCAUUGUGGAAUAUUCCUCACUGCAGCCCCCCGUAGG
rnacentral:rRNA from 1 species